rnacentral:rRNA from 1 species
GACGAAACGCUGGCGGCGUGCUUAACACAUGCAAGUCGAGCGGUAAGGCCCUUUCGGGGGUACACGAGCGGCGAACGGGUGAGUAACACGUGGGUGACCUGCCCUCAGCCCUGGGAUAAGCCUGGGAAACCGGGUCUAAUACCGGAUAUGACUCCAUGACGCAUGUUGUGGGGUGGAAAGCCUUGUGCGGCUGAGGAUGGGCCCGCGGCCUAUCAGCUUGUUA